GGGGAUGUAGCUCAGUGGGAGAGCGCCUCCUUGGCGUGGAGGAGGUCGAGGGUUCAAUCCCCUCCAUCUCCACCA
rnacentral:tRNA from 2 species